rnacentral:rRNA from 1 species
GCGUUCAGUUACUUGACGUAGACCCGAAACCGGGCGACCUACCCAUGAGCAGGAUGAAGCGAAAGUAAAAUUUCGUGGAGGUCCGAACCCACGAGCGUUGAAAAGCUCGGGGAUGACUUGUGGGUAGCGGUGAAAUUCCAGUCGAGCCCGGAUAUAGCUGGUUCUCCCCGAAAUAGCUUUAGGGCUAGCCUCAAGGUGAGAGAUACGGAGGUAGAGCACUGAAUGUCCUAGGGGGUAUUGCACCUACCGAAGACUAUCAAACUCCGAA